CCCUUAGAUGUUCUGGGCCGCACGCGUGCUACACUGAACGGUUCAAUGGGUGAGGUAGUGCGAAAGCAUAACCUAAUCUCUAAAUCCGUUCGUGAUGGGGAUAGAAGCUUGCAAUUAUCCUUCUUGAACGAGGAAUACCUUGUAGGCGUGAGUCAUCAUCUCACGCCGAAUACGUCCCUGCCCUUUGUACACACCGCCCGUCGCUCCUACCGAUUGAGUGGUCCGGUGAAAUCUCGGGACGGCGGCUUGGUCGCUUGCGUCCGACUGCUGAAACUUGAUUAAACCAUAUCAUUUAGAGGAAGGUGAAGUCGUAACA
rnacentral:rRNA from 1 species